GUAUACUAAAGUUGUUGCGGUUAAAAAGCUCGUAGUUGGAUCUUGGAAUGUGUUCAAGCGGGUCAGCUUCUGGCUGUUCGCUGCUUGACGUGUUCUUCUAUUUGGUUUUGGUGCGGUGCGCUUAACUGCGUGUCGCUCCCGGCCGAAACGUUUACCUUGAAAAAAUUAGAGUGUUCAAAGCAGACCUGUUUGAGUCUGAAUAUUCGUGCAUGGAAUAAUGAAAUAUGAAUUCGGUUCUAUUUUGUUGGUUUUCGGAUCUCGAGUUAAUGAUCAAGAGGGACAGACGGGGGCAUUCGUACUCUGCCGUUAGAGGUGAAAUUCUUGGAUCGGCGGAAGACGCGCAACUGCGAAAGCAUUUGCCAAGAAUGUUUUCUUUAAUCAAGAACGAUAGUCGGAGGUUCGAAGACGAUCAGAUACCGUCCUAGUUUCGACUGUAAACUAUGCCAGCUAACGAUCAGACAGAGUUCUCUACGACUUGUCUGGCAGUUUCCGGGAAACCAAAGCGUUUGGGUUCCGGGGGAAGUAUGGUUGCAAAGCUGAAACUUAAAGGAAUUGACGGAAGGGCACCACCAGGAGUGGAGCCUGCGGCUUAAUUUGACUCAACACGGGGAAACUCACCCGGCCCGGACACAGUGAGGAUUGACAGAUUGAGAGUUCUUUCUUGAUUCUGUGGGUGGUGGUGCAUGGCCGUUCUUAGUUGGUGGAGCGAUUUGUCUGGUUAAUUCCGAUAACGAACGAGACUCUGGCAUGUUAAAUAGUCGCGGAAGUGCGUAUGCACUUGCCGAAUUGACUUCUUAGAGGGACUAGUGAUUUUAAUUCACACGAGAUUGAGCAAUAACAGGUCUGUGAUGCCCUUAGAUGUUCGGGGCCGCACGCGCGCUACAAUGAGUCGAUCAACGUGCGUAUAUUUCCAAGGCCGAAAGGUCGAGGUAAUCCGUUGAACCCGACUCGUGCUAGGGAUAGGGACUUGUAAUUGUUUCCCUUGAACGAGGAAUUCCCAGUAAGCGCAAGUCAUCAGCUUGCGUUGAUUACGUCCCUGCCCUUUGUACACACCGCCCGUCGCUACUACCGAUUGAAUGGUUCAGUGAGAUAAUCGGAUAGGUAACUCGGUGAGCAGCAAUGUUUACCAAGCAUACAUAGAAGAGAGAUCAAACUCAGUCAUUUACGCGGAAGUAAAAGUCGUAACA
rnacentral:rRNA from 1 species